UUGAUCCUGGCUCAGGACGAACGCUAGCGGCUGUGCCUAAGGUAUGCAAGUCGAACGGCCCGCAAGGGUAGUGGCGAACGGUCGCGUAACACGUAGACAACCUGCCUCCCAGUGGGGGAUACCCGCUCGAAAGGGCGGUUAAUACCGCAUACGGUGGGGAAGCGCCUGCUUUCCUGACCAAAGGCGCAAGUCGCUGGGAGAUGGGUCUGCGGCCUAUCAGCUAGCUGGUGGGGUAACGGCCUACCAGGGCGACGACGGGUAGCUGGCCUGAGAGGAUGAUCAGCCGGACGGGGACUGAGACACGGCCCCGACUCCUUCGGGAGGCAGCAAUGAGGAAUAUUGCGCAAUGGGCGAAAGCCUGACGCAGCGACGCCGCGUGGGUGAGGAAGUCCUUCGGGAUGUAAAGCCCUUUUCUCGGGGACGAAGCGGACGGUACCCGAGGAAGAAGCCCCGGCUAACUACGUGCCAGCAGCCGCGGUAAUACGUAGGGGGCAAGCGUUGUCCGGAUUUACUGGGCGUAAAGCGCGCGUAGGUGGAACGUUCAGUCCGGUCUGAAAGCCCCCGGCUCAACCGGGGAGGGUGGCUGGAAACUGGCGUUCUUGAGGGCGAGAGAGGAGGGUGGAAUUCCUGGUGUAGCGGUGAAAUGCGUAGAGAUCAGGAGGAACACCCGUGGCGAAGGCGGCCCUCUGGCUCGACCCUGACGCUGAGGCGCGAAAGCGUGGGGAGCGAACGGGAUUAGAUACCCCGGGUAGUCCAACGCCGUAAAACAAUGGUCAAUAGGUUGUGUGCCGGUAUCGACCCCGCACGUUGCCGGCCGCCAACGCAAUAAGUUNACCCGCUUGGGGAAUUACGGCGCAAGGUUGAAAUCAAGGAAUUGACCGGGCCCGCACAACGGUGGAGCAUGUGGAUUAAUACGUCACUAACCAUAGAACCUUACCCAGGCUUGAAUCUCGGAAAGCGGGUGAAAGCUCCCCGUGCCCCGCAAGGGGAACCGCAAGACAGGUGUUGCAUGGCUGUCGUCAGCUCGUGUCGUGAGAUGUUGGGUUAAGUCCCGCAACGAGCGCAACCCUCACCGUCUGUUGCCAGCAUUCAGUUGGGCACUCUGACGGAACUGCCCGGGUAACACGGGAGGAAGGUGGGGAUGACGUCAAGUCAGCAUGGCCCGUACGCCUGGGGCUUCACACAUGCUACAAUGGCCGGUACAAAGGGUCCCGAGCCCCCGAGGGGGAGGCAAUCCCAAAAAGCCGGUCUCAGUUCGGAUCGCAGGCUGCAACUCGCCUGCGUGAAGCGGAAUCGCUAGUAACCGCCGGUCAGCUAAACGGCGGUGAAAUACGUUCCCGGGCCUUGUACACACCNCCCG
rnacentral:rRNA from 1 species